rnacentral:rRNA from 1 species
AUGAGGCAACCACCAGGCUAUGAGGAUAAAAACUCACCCUUUCAUGUGUGCAUAUUGGACAAGGCCCUUUAUGGACUCAAACAAGCUCCAAGGGCAUGGUAUUCUCGUCUGAACUCAAAGUUGCAACAACUUGGGUUUAUUCCUUCAAAAGCUGACACCUCACUUUUCUUAUUCAAUAAGUCUGGGGUGACUAUAUUUGUUCUCAUCUAUGUUGAUGACAUUAUUGUAACAAGCUCCUCUCAGCAAGCAAUAUCAACAUUGUUGAAGGAUUUGAGCUCAACCUUUGCCCUGAAGGACUUGGGAGAUUUGCAUUUCUUCCUUGGAAUAGAGGUAAAGAAAAUUAAUGAUGGUAUUGUGCUAACACAAGAAAAGUAUGCUUUUGAUCUCUUAACCAAAGUGGGUAUGAAAGACUGCAAACCAGCACCCACUCCUUUGUCCAGCACUGAAAAAUUGUCAGCUCAUGAUGGAGAGCCACUUGGGCCAAAGGAUAGUACAAGGUAUAGGAGUAUUGUGGGUGCAUUACAAUAUUUGACUAUUACAAGGCCGGAUAUUUCCUUUUCAGUGAACAAAAUAUGUCAAUAUCUGCAUGCACCAACAACAGUUCAUUGGACUGCAGCGAAAAGAUUUCUUAGAUUUAUAAAGCAUACAAUAAACUCAGGAUUAGCAUACAGAAAGUCCUCAUCUACUUUGCUAAGUGCCUUCUCAGAUGCAGACUGGGCAGGUGACAUUGAUGACAGGAGAUCAACAGGUGGUUUUGCAGUGUACUUUGGUCCAAAUCUGAUUUCCUGGAGUGCCAGGAAACAAGCUACUGUGUCGAGAUCUAGUACAGAAGCAGAGUACAAGUCUGUGGCCAAUGCUACAGCAGAAAUCAUUUGGUUGCAAUCACUGUUAAAGGAACUUCAAGUACCGACAAGAGAUAUUCCUUGCCUUUGGUGUGACAACCUUGGGGCGACCUAUUUGUCAGCUAAUCCUGUGUUCCAUGCUCGCACUAAGCAUAUUGAAAUUGACUAUCAUUUUGUCAGAGAAAGAGUCGCAAAUAAACUUCUUGAUAUAAGGUAUGUUUCCUCUAAAGAUCAAAUUGCAGAUGGCUUUACAAAGGCACUACCUGUGAGAGACUUGGAGAACUUCAGGCGCAAUCUCACCUUGACCAAGGUGUGA